rnacentral:rRNA from 1 species
CGCGGCCUAUCAGCUUGUUGGUGGGGCUUGGCCUACCAAGGCUUCGACGGGUAGCCGGCCUGAGAGGGUGACCGGCCACACUGGGACUGAGACACGGCCCAGACUCCUACGGGAGGCAGCAGUGGGGAAUAUUGGACAAUGGGCGGAAGCCUGAUCCAGCAACGCCGCGUGAGGGAUGACGGCCUUCGGGUUGUAAACCUCUUUCAGCACCGACGAAGCGAUCCGUAUGGUGAGUGACGGUAGGUGCAGAAGAAGGACCGGCCAACUACGUGCCAGCAGCCGCGGUAAUACGUAGGGUCCGAGCGUUGUCCGGAAUUAUUGGGCGUAAAGGGCUCGUAGGCGGUUUGUCGCGUCGGGAGUGAAAACACCGGGCUUAACUCGGUGCUUGCUUCCGAUACGGGCAGACUGGAGGUAUGCAGGGGAGAACGGAAUUCCUGGUGUAGCGGUGAAAUGCGCAGAUAUCAGGAGGAACACCGGUGGCGAAGGCGGUUCUCUGGGCAUUACCUGACGCUGAGGAGCGAAAGUGUGGGGAGCGAACAGGAUUAGAUACCCUGGUAGUCCACACCGUAAACGUUGGGCGCUAGGUGUGGGAUCCAUUCCACGGGUUCCGUGCCGUAGCUAACGCAUUAAGCGCCCCGCCUGGGGAGUACGG